GCGACGAUCUGUAGCUGGUCUGAGAGGACGACCAGCCACACUGGGACUGAGACUCGGCCCAGACUCCUACGGGAGGCAGCAGUGGGGAAUUUUGGACAAUGGGCGCAAGCCUGAUCCAGCCAUGCCGCGUGUGGGAAGAAGGCCUUCGGGUUGUAAACCACUUUUGUCAGGGAAGAAACGGUCCGAUCUAAUACAUUGGACUAAUGACGGUACCUGAAGAAUAAGCACCGGCUAACUACGUGCCGGCAGCCGCGGUAUACGUAGGGUGCAAGCGUUAAUCGGAAUUACUGGGCGUAAAGCGUGCGCAGGCGGCUUUGCAAGACAGAUGUGAAAUCCCCGGGCUCAACCUGGGAACUGCAUUUGUGACUGCAUGGCUAGAGUACGGUAGAGGGGGAUGGAAUUCCGCGUGUAGCAGUGAAAUGCGUAGAUAUGCGGAGGAACACCGAUGGCGAAGGCAAUCCCCUGGACCUGUACUGACGCUCAUGCACGAAAGCGUGGGGAGCAGACAGGAUUAGAUACCCUGGUAGUCCACGCCCUAAACGAUGUCAACUGGUUGUUGGACGGCUUGCUGUUCAGUAACGAAGCUAACGCGUGAAGUUGACCGCCUGGGGAGUACGGCCGCAAGGUUGAAACUCAAAGGAAUUGACGGGGACCCGCACAAGCGGUGGAUGAUGUGGUUUAAUUCGAUGCAACGCGAAAAACCUUACCUACCCUUGACAUGUCUAGAAGUUUCCAGAGAUGGAUUCGUGCUCGAAAGAGAACUAGAACACAGGUGCUGCAUGGCCGUCGUCAGCUCGUGUCGUGAGAUGUUGGGUUAAGUCCCGCAACGAGCGCAACCCUUAUCAUUAGUUGCUACGCAAGGGCACUCUAAUGAGACUGCCGGUGACAAACCGGAGGAAGGUGGGGAUGACGUCAGGUCAUCAUGGCCCUUAUGGGUAGGGCUACACACGUCAUACAAUGGCCGGUACAGAGGGCUGCCAACCCGCGAGGGGGAGCUAACCUCAGAAAACCGGUCGUAGUCCGGAUCGCAGUCUGCAACUCGACUGCGUGAAGUCGGAAUCGCUAGUAAUCGCGGAUCAGCUUGCCGCGGUGAAUACGUUCCCGGGUCUUGUACACACCGCCCGUCACACCAUGGAAGCGGGUUCUGCCAGAAGUAGUUAGCCUAACCGCAAGGAGGGCGAUUACCACGGCAGGGUUCGUGACUGGGGUGAAGUCGUAACAAGGUAGCCGUAUCGGAAGGUGCGGCUG
rnacentral:rRNA from 1 species